GCCUGGGUAGUACAAAUGUUUAAGUGCUUGGCUACUAACCAAAAAGUUGGUGGUUCGAAUCCACCCAGAGGCC
rnacentral:tRNA from 1 species